rnacentral:rRNA from 1 species
UUGGAGGGCAAGUCUGGUGCCAGCAGCCGCGGUAAUUCCAGCUCCAAUAGCGUAUAUUAAAGUUGUUGCAGUUAAAAAGCUCGUAGUUGAAUUUCGGGGUCAGUAGGUCGGUCGUGCCACUGGUAUGAACUGGUUUUACUGAUUCCCCCCUCUUGAAGAACUGUAAUGCCAUUAAUUUGGUGUUGCAGGGAAUCAGGACUGUUACUUUGAAAAAAUUAGAGUGUUUAAAGCAGGCUUUAGCUUGAAUACAUUAGCAUGGAAUAAUGAAAUAGGACGUUUGAUCCUAUUUUGUUGGUUUCUAGGAUUGACGUAAUGAUUAAUAGGGAUAGUUGGGGGCAUUAGUAUUCAAUUGUCAGAGGUGAAAUUCUUGGAUUUAUUGAAGACUAACUACUGCGAAAGCAUUUGCCAAGGAUGUUUUCAUUAAUCAAGAACGAAAGUUAGGGGAUCGAAGACGAUCAGAUACCGUCGUAGUCUUAACCAUAAACUAUGCCGACUAGGGAUCGGAUGAUGUUAAUUUUUUAAUGACUCAUUCGGCGCCUUACGGGAAAC